rnacentral:lncRNA from 1 species
AACACACAAAUAUAUUAAUUUAAUUAAUGUGAAAAAAGAAAGAACAAUGAAUACAUAAAUAAAUAAGAACAAUAUAUCAAUGAUUUGAUCUCCCUCCGUCUCUCACCAGGCCUAGCGAUUAGCCGGUGUAAAAAUACAUGGGUUAAUUCCUCACCGUUCAUCCACUCUCUACUAUGUAUCUUUUAUCAUCUAUAAGUACACCGCUAAUCAUAUCAUUAUUAUUACAAUUACAUCAUUUACAGCGAUUUUCUUUUUUUUUUACCAUGCAGGUGACCUCACAGAAUCACCCCACCCGACGCCACCAAUUUAAUAUUACCAUGCACCCUUGAGCUUGAGAGCGAGCAGUUAACAAGCGUAGAACUCAACGAGUUCAUCUAAAGACUCGGGCUGGGGAUCGGCAUUUUCGAGCAUCCAAAGC